rnacentral:rRNA from 1 species
GGAGUAAACCUCCUUAGGGAGUCAANCNNCUGCUGUACGCUGAUCAAGCGUGCCGCCCACAGAUCAAACACGAGUGACUGUCUCCUUUUCCCUUUCGGAAGGUCUUACUCCUUUCGAAAGUCUAUAGCGAGUCGGUUAAGAUAUGACCGUAGCAGCUCCGCAAGGAGGUGAUAAAACUAGUUCCGUAGGUGAACCUGCGGAAGGAU